CCUCCCAUCAGGGAGCCUACAGCAAGCCCCCUUACCAACUUCAGCCACAAGGGGGGCAGACACCAGAAGUAAGAGAGGCUACAACUCUACUGUCUGCAAAAAGAUCACCACACCAAAAACCUAUAAAAAUGAAACAACAAAGAACUAUAACUCAGAUAAGGGAGAAAGAAAAAAAAAAAGAAAACAGAAAAACAGCUAAGUGAUCAGGAGAUUUUCAGCCUCCAGGUAAAAAAGACUUUAGACUGUUGAUGCUAAAGAUGACGCAAGACAUUGGAAAUAAACUGGAGGCAAAGAUUGUUAUUAAUAGGAAACACUGAGCAAAGAAAUACAAGAUAUGAAACUUAAGGAAAAAGAGAUGCAAAAUACAAUAAUUGAAUUCCAGAUAUAAAGAUUUAAAAUUUGUGAGAUCUGGUCUAUUUCUGAUUUUCCUUUAUUCCUAGAACAUAGAUUUCUUGGGUUCUCAACUUUAAAUCUAGAUUUUUUUUUUUUCACGGUCUCUUCUCCUUGGUAGAAUUUGACCUCCUAUUUUUGUCUCUUCAGCACUGUGAAAUUGCAAAAUUUUCUCCUUAUUCUUCUUGAUUUCGUGGAAUUCCAUCUCACAAAAUUUAGUAAUUUGCAAAUUCAUCAAGAAAACAGUGGCAGAGAAUACCAAUUUCACCUCAAUAUGCUUUCCUUUUCCUAAGACCCUUCGAAACCUGCCUACUUUGAAUUCUCUACAAUGCCUUCUUCGGUCAGCUACUUUUUAUAUUUUCUCUAGCUUUUAUAUUGUUUUCAAAGUAGAAGUUGUCCUGAUAAAAAGAUACUUUUUAUUUAUUUAUUUAUAUAUGAGUUAUUUAUUUAUUUUGGCUACCUCAUGUCAUAUAGUGUUCCCGGACCAGGGAUCAGAUCCAAGCUGCAAUUGUGACCUACAUCUCAGCUGUGGUAUCAGUGGAUCCUUUAACCCACUGCACUGGGCCAGGGAUCGAACCCAAGCCAUGUUGUUGCAGAGAUGCUGUGAUCCUGCUGUACUAUAGCAGGAACUCCAAUAACAAGAUACUUUAUCAUAUUUCAAGAAAAAAAAAAAAACAGUAUAUCUCUUACAGCCUUUUCGGGUUCCAAUAAAAUUAUUUACUUAUUUGUCUUAUACUCAUUACUAGAUUAAGAGUUUCUUACAAGCAAGGACUCUGACUCAUUAUCUUUGGUUGUUCAGGGACUGAAAUACAAUCAGCUAUCAGUAAUUAUUAAUGUUUUCAGUUAUAUCUUUUUUUUCUCCAAAAAGGAAAAAAUGUCUGCACACUUCUCUUCUGAACUACUUACUCUCCCCAUCCCUGAAUAUCUCUCUACCUGCUACUUUCUAGAUUGCUACUACUAUCCUCCCAUUCUAUCCCCUGAUCUCCUUUAAAAAAAAACAAAAUAAAACAAAACAAAAAGCCUAUUGUAAAAUACUUUAGGGCUAUUUUUUCCUUCCUAACCUUAACCAGGUGUGAUCAGAACAUAAUCUAUCAUAUCUCAGCAAAUAUAUUCUCAACAUCCUGUGGCACCUUGGAUUCUUUAAGUGAAAAGUCAGUGUUCCCUCUCUGUCAAACAGACUGUGAGCCUGUUGACACCAGAAGCUGUACCUUUUGCUUAGCAUAAGGGAAUACCCUUAGGAAGUGGAUUCAGCACCAGGUAAAACAUUGGCCGUUUGAGCAAUGUGGACUUGGUCAUCUGUAAACCUCAAAAAGGAGGCUAAAUUAUAUUUUAGUUGGAUAGGCAUAACAAACCAAAACCAUAACAGAAUUAAAUUAAAUUUCUUCAAUAAUGUAAACAAAUGGAGACUUUUCAAUAACUUAAUUUCUCAUGAAUGCUUGCAUUUAUCUUCAUAUCCUUAGAAUCUGUUCUCUAGGCAGAAGAUGCCUACUCUUUAAUAGAACUUGAUUGUAAAAUGGUAUCUAGUGUCAAUCUUUAUGUGCUUCUAAGCAUUGAAAUUCAUAGUAAAUAAGCUUUUAAUCAGCAAUUACACAUAGUAAAGAUGUAAAUAGACACAUGAGAGUAAAAUAUCAGUAUCAUUGUUUACUCAUAUUCAAAUACUGAUUGAAACAAUUCCUACCAUUUUGCUUAACAUUCAAAAUUGUAUUGGAUCUACCUUUACAUAUUAGAACAAUGACCUGUGGAAUUUUUUUAAAUUAUAUCAGUCUUUGAAGAUUAGCAAAUACGCCCCUUCUGGGUGUCACUUUUAUCUAGUUCAGCAUCAUUUG
rnacentral:lncRNA from 1 species